rnacentral:rRNA from 1 species
CCCUUAGAUGUUCUGGGCCGCACGCGCGCUACACUGACGAUGGCAACGAGUUUUUCCUUCGCCGAAAGGUGUGGGUAAUCUUUUGAAACAUCGUCGUGCUGGGGAUAGAUCAUUGCAAUUUUUGAUCUUGAACGAGGAAUUCCUAGUAAGCGCGAGUCAUCAGCUCGCGUUGAUUACGUCCCUGCCCUUUGUACACACCGCCCGUCGCUACUACCGAUUGAAUGGUUUAGUGAGGACUCCUGAUUGGCUCCGCCGCCCCGGCAACGGAGCAGCGGACUGCCGAAAAGUUGUUCAAACUUGAUCAUUUAGAGGAAGUAAAAGUCGUAACA